rnacentral:lncRNA from 1 species
CUCAGCUUUCCAGGGAGAAGUGGCAGCCAGGAGAGGCCAGGAGCAGGGCUGCAGCCAGGGCACAGACAGAUGGACUGAAGCGCCCCGAUGCACCGAACACGUUCGAAUCGGGAACAUGGCUCUGGCUCUGGCUCAUGGGCUUCCAGGGACCAUCUUAGAGCAAACACUGUUUACCCAGCUCGGCCUGCAGGGUGCCCACGGCCCACGAGGAUGCAGAAGGGGAACCCGUCCUGUGUGUCAGGCAUUUCACACUUGUGGCGACGUGUGUGUAAGCUCUUACCUGGUUCUGUGGGUUCUGCUGAGUUCUGCUUCAGUGUGGAGGUCUGCGGAUGUGCAGAAGGAAUCAGCUCCGGUUUCUCAUCAAGCAGGAAAUCCCAGGUUCUCACAUAAAGAUGAAACUGGAAGAUGGCACAACUUUUAUAGCCAUACUCUAAUUGCCAGAUCUGGGACCAAAAAAAAAUAUGUAACAGAAAAAUAUAUGGACAUUUUACAGCAGCGCCUGUGGGCCUGCAUGAGUUUAUAUUCAGGAUUGGAGGCUUCUGUCAUACUAAGAAAUGUGAAGUCAUUACAAGUGACCAGUGUACGGAAUCCACCCAUGGUAAACAAGAUCACAUUAGAACCGCCAAGCUUGUUAUGAUGAUUAUUAUUGCACCUCCACAUGAAACCCAGCAGUGGUUUGAAGUUGGAAUGUCACAGACUCUGAAGCCCCAUCAAGGGCCUCUUCAACCUCAACAGAGACGCCCAUCUGAGGAUGGGCUCCAGCAAACCUGCUCUGAGCCUUCCCUUCCCUUGUGCUCCUGCCUCAUUGCUGCCACGUCUACCUCUCGGGCCCGCGUGCAGGCAUGGACAGGCCCACCCUGCCCUAUUCUCUUGGCUUUCCCUUCCCCCACCCCAACGCCUGAAGAGUCCUUUGGAGACAUCAGCCUGAUUUCUUUCGUUCCUUUUCCCAACUUUCCAGAAGUUUCUGAAUCAUUUGGGAGGAAACACUGAAUCCUGCCCAAGCUUUGCAAGCUGCAGCCCUGGCUGUCAGGUCCCCGGGCCCUGGCCCAGCACACGGGGCCUUCAUGUCUCCAGAGGCCACUGCCAGAUACACGUGUCUUCUGUUGCUGGUGAUUCGGGGCCCCCACAAACAUCAGCUGUACGUGGCGUUGCUCCCAGGCCCUCUGACUUCACGCAUCAUCCAUGACCUCUGGACCAACUGUCUCUGCCGCAGCCUGUGCUCACAGAGAAUCCAGCACCCCGGGCCGCACCCGACGCCUGGCAUGGAAGAGACACCCAAACGUUUGUUGGAUGAGUAAUUUACAAAAAGCUCUCUGCUGGCCAAAGGUGCAUCUCCCUGGAGUGGAGCUUGGGUAGAAGCGAGGGGCGGGACUUGGUGAGACCAGGGGGUGCAGGUGCUUGGCUGGAGGAGCUCGGGAGGCGAUGUGUGUGUUUGCAGAGUACUUUACACUUAGAAAGCCCAUCAUCUCUACGACAAUGUGAGGAGGUGUGCUUCAUGCAGCCCCACGUGUUCCCGGAGGACCUGGGCCUCCUUCAGGAUGUCACCAGCAAACAAGGGCCAGGCUCUUAUAGGUGCUGGCACAGCUCUGCCUGGAACAUUCGUGGCAUCCAGGAGGUGCCACAUGGACUCAGGAACGGGAGUGUCAGGGUGGUCAGUGAGCAUGGGCUGAGGUUGAUUGAAGGACACUCUGUGGUGAGGCUUCUCGAGGGAAGCGUUCUGAAACAUCCACCAACUGCUGCCCAUUCAAAUUCCAUCAUCGCACAUCAUUUUCCUCCUAAAAUUUAAUAACACAGAACUGGAAAAUUUGACGACCCAUUCAGACCCUUAAUGGUUUUAUAAAACAAAGCUAAACUCACUUAUGAAGCAAUACAAAUAAAUUUUAGCUGGAGCACA